GAUGAACGCUAGCUACAGGCUUAACACAUGCAAGUCGAGGGGAAACGAUAGAGAAAGCUUGCUUUUUCUAGGCGUCGACCGGCGCACGGGUGAGUAACGCGUAUCCAACCUGCCCAUCACUUGGGGAUAACCUUGCGAAAGUAAGACUAAUACCCAAUGAUAUCUCUAGAAGACAUCUGAAGGAGAUUAAAGAAUUAUCGGUGAUGGAUGGGGAUGCGUCUGAUUAGCUUGUUGGCGGGGUAACGGCCCACCAAGGCGACGAUCAGUAGGGGUUCUGAGAGGAAGGUCCCCCACAGUGGAACUGAGACACGGUCCAAACUCCUACGGGGGGCAGCAGUGAGGAAUAUUGGUCAAUGGACGAGAGUCUGAACCAGCCAAGUAGCGUGCAGGAUGACGGCCCUAUGGGUUGUAAACUGCUUUUAUAAGGGAAUAAAGUGAGUCUCGUGAGACUUUUUGCAUGUACCUUAUGAAUAAGGACCGGCUAAUUCCGUGCCAGCCGCCGCAGUAA
rnacentral:rRNA from 1 species